AGAGUUUGAUCCUGGCUCAGAUUGAACGCUGGCGGCAGGCCUAACACAUGCAAGUCGAACGGUAACAGGAAGCAGCUUGCUGCUUCGCUGACGAGUGGCGGACGGGUGAGUAAUGUCUGGGAAACUGCCUGAUGGAGGGGGAUAACUACUGGAAACGGUAGCUAAUACCGCAUAACGUCGCAAGACCAAAGAGGGGGACCUUCGGGCCUCUUGCCAUCGGAUGUGCCCAGAUGGGAUUAGCUUGUUGGUGGGGUAACGGCUCACCAAGGCGACGAUCCCUAGCUGGUCUGAGAGGAUGACCAGCCACACUGGAACUGAGACACGGUCCAGACUCCUACGGGAGGCAGCAGUGGGGAAUAUUGCACAAUGGGCGCAAGCCUGAUGCAGCCAUGCCGCGUGUAUGAAGAAGGCCUUCGGGUUGUAAAGUACUUUCAGCGGGGAGGAAGGGAGUAAAGUUAAUACCUUUGCUCAUUGACGUUACCCGCAGAAGAAGCACCGGCUAACUCCGUGCCAGCAGCCGC
rnacentral:rRNA from 1 species